AUACGUAGGGGGCGAGCGUUGUCCGGAAUGAUUGGGCGUAAAGGGCGCGUAGGCGGCCUGUUAAGUCUGGAGUGAAAGUCCUGUUUUCAAGAUGGGAAUUGCUUUGGAUACUGAUGGGCUUGAGUGCAGGAGAGGUUAUCGGAAUUCCCGGUGUAGCGGUGCAAUGCGUAGAGAUCGGGAGGAACACCAGUGGCGAAGGCGGGUAACUGGACUGCAACUGACGCUGAGGCGCGAAAGUGUGGGGAGCAAACAGGAUUAGAUACCCUGGUAGUCCACACUGUAAACGAUGAAUGCUAGGUGUAAGAGGUAUCGACCCCUUUUGUGCCGGAGUUAACACAAUAAGCAUUCCGCCUGGGGAGUACGGCCGCAAGGUUGAAACUCAAAGGAAUUGACGGG
rnacentral:rRNA from 1 species